UGUGCUUCAUCUGCACGCGUAUAUUCAGCUCUUUCUGCCUUUAUUUAAACACCGAUGAGACUUUAAGCUGCACUCUGUGGAUUAGUAAAGCUUGUGGAGUAAAUCAAACGACUUGAGCAUCAGACAGUAUAAGCAUGUGCCAAAAGCGUGUCAGCGAUGUUGAGCUCAUCUUCAGCCCAUACAGGGACGGCAGCGUGUGAAGCGCUCAGCAGAGAUUCAGAGAUGAUCUGAGCUUCACUGAUGUCCAGCGGCUUUACUGGGGGAUGGAGGAGCCGGGGUGUGUGUGAGAAGCCGGACGAGAGAGAGAUCUACGGUGUGUGUGUGAAUCAUGAGCAGUAAAGCUGUGAAAAAUACACUAAGAUGGAUCUGACCUGCUGAUGAGGUCAUCUGAAGACUCGAUGAUAUCACUUCCCAUGGAGCAGAACAGGAAGACUCCCUCGUUCAUGAACAGCGUUCCACUCAAACACUGACGGCGGGAGGAAAAAACAGCAUUAAUGUUUGCAUCUGCUUUUAUGAGUCUGUUCAUGUUUUUACUGACGUCCAGUGUAGAAAUUAAAAACAUUAGUAUAUAAUAGCUGAUUAAUUUCACACACACAAAUAGAGAUGCACACGUACGCACAAAUACACGCACACACACAUAAAAGCACACAAAUAUAUGUAGACAUACAAAUAUAUAUAAAUAUAUAUGGACACAAAUACACUCAAAACACACAAAUGCACGCAUAAAUUAAAGCACAAACACGCACUCAAAUACACACACACACCUAAAUGGACACAUAAGUACACACACAAAUAUAUAUGCAGACAUACACAUACAGUUGAAUCCAGACGUUUACAUACACACUAAAAAAAGGAACAUAAUAAUCUUUUUAAAAAUGUCUGAUGGUAAAUCAGACUGUGUUUACUAUUUUAGGUCCGUUAUGAUUACCUAAAUGAUUUACAUUUGAUAAAUGCCAGAAUAAUGAGAGAAUUUCAUUUUCAGAAUGUUUAAUUAAUUUUAGAUAGCUAAAAGUUUACACACAUUUCUUUGGUAUAUUUUAGCUUUGCUUUUAAACUGUAUAACUUUGGUCAGAUGUUUUGGGCCUCCUUCCACAAGCUUCUCACAAUAGUUUGAAGGAGUUUUGGCCCAUUCCUCCUGACAGAAUUGGUGUAACCAAGUCAGAUUUCUAGACUAGUCUUGCUCGCACAAGCUUUUUCAACUCUGCCCACAAAUUCUCUAUAGGGUUGAGAUCAGGGCUUUGUGAUGGCCACUCCAAAACAUUCACUCUGCUGUCCUUAAAGCACAUUUGACCUAAUCUGGCAGUAUGCUUAGGGUCAUGGUCUGUUAGGAAGACCCAUUUGUGGCCGAGUUUUAAUUUCCUGGCUGAUGUCUUGAGAUGUUGCUUCAGUAUUUCUACAUCAUGUUCUUUCCUCAUGCACUUUCCAUCUAUGCUGUGAAGUGGACCAGUCCCUCCUGCAGCAAAACAGCCCCACAAUGCUGCCGCCCCAAUACUUCACAGUUGGGAUGGUGUUUAUAGGCUUGUAAGCUUUCUCCUUUGUCCUCCAAAUGUAAAACUGGUCAUUAUGGCCAAACAGUUCAAUCUUAGCUCCAUCAGACCACAGGACAUGUCUCCAAACAUUAGUCUUUUUCCCAGUGUAAUUUAGCUAAUUGUAAUUCGGCUUUAUUGUUGACUCUGGCUUGUUGAUUUUCCCAUGUUGUCACACAAGGAAGCAGUGUGUUUGAGCUUUUCCUUAAAUACUAUUCUACAGUUGUGCCUCCAAUUAACUCAAAUGUUGUCAAUUAGCCAAUCAGAAACUUCCAAAACCUUGACACCAUCAGCUGAGCUUUUUCAGAGGCAGAAUAAUCUUAUUGUGUGUAAACUUGACUUUCAAUUAAAGUUCUCUCAAAAAAUCUCUCUCAUUAUUCUACUAUUAAUCAUAAACAGAAACACGUGAUAAUCCUGACUUACCUAAAAGAGAAAAAGUUUAGUCACAUUAACAUCUGACAUUUUUUUAAAUGGUUUAUGUGCCUUUUUAUACAGUGUGUGUUAACUUCUGCUUUCAACUGUACACACACACACACACACACACACACACACAAAUAUACUCACACACACACACAAUAAAAUCUGCAAAUCAAUAUUUCACUAACACUACACCAGUAAUCAAGUGCGCAUUUAAAUUACAAUUAUCACUUAAACCUGUCUGUACUGGAGUCUGAUUUGUCAA